GCCGGGUUGGAGCCAGGUGCGGCCCCGCGGACCUCCGCCCGCCCCGCCGCAGCCCCCCGAGCUGCGUGGAGAGCUUUGGCAACCAAGAAUCACUAACAGUUUUCCAAAUGGUGCUGUGCCCACAGUGCGAUGGGGAACACACACUCUCCAGAGGAGAUGCUUAGGGCUGGAGCAUUAACUGGACAAAAUGGAUAAAGAAAGACCCCCAAAACACAGGAUAGAACUCGCAGUAUUUGCUGAACUGUGAAGAAUUUGGAUACAUUCAGUUAAUGAAAGUUUUUGCUUGAAGUUUUGGUUUCAGGAGCAGGGAGAAGGCACAGGAGGAUGCACAGCUCCAAGGGGACCUGUGAAGGAGCUGAGAAGUGAGAAGACCGAAAGACAAGGACGCCCCACACACCAGCCCCUGUGCCACCCCUUGCUGCACAAAGUUUCUCCAAUGAAGAAAGCCAUGCAGUUUACAAGCUGAAGUCAUGUAAGGAUCCUGUCUGUUUUUCCUUCAUAUGAACAGCAUCGUGGGAGUCCAUACUCUGCCACCCAUGACU
ensembl:lncRNA